rnacentral:rRNA from 1 species
CAUGGAGGGUGAGAAUCCCGUUCAUGGUUAAUCUUAAGGAAGCUCUACGAUACGUUUUCCAAGAGUCGAGUUGUUUGGGAUCGCAGCUCAAAAUGGGAGGUAAAUUUCUCCUAAGGCUAAAUAUUGGCGAGAGACCGAUAGCGAACAAGUACCGUGAGGGAAAGAUGAAAAGAACUUUGAAAAGAGAGUUAAACAGUACGUGAAAUUGUUGAAAGGGAAACAAUUGAAGUCAGUCAUACCAACGGGAAAUCAACCUUUUGAGCUCGGUCUCGUGGGUUUUGAAGAGUUUCAAAGCCUUCGGAUUCGCGGGAUUGGGAUCUCUUGGCGUACUUUUUCGUACGGUUAGUCAACAUCGGUUUUGAAUGUCAUAAAAUGACUGGAGGAAUGUAGCUUCGAUCUCGUAUUGAAGUGUUAUAGCCUUUGGUAGAUGUGAUGUUUGAGACCGAGGAUUGCAACGGAUACCCUUCAGGGCUAUUCGUCUGAUCUCUGAUACGUUGCCUUGAUGUUGAAAGCUUGCUUAUGAUGUUAGGGUAUUACGGUCAAAAGGUUAGAACGAAUUACAUUCGUUAAGGAUGUUGACGUAAUGG